CCCGGCCCUCUCCCGCGAGCGGAGGGAAGGCUCCCGAGCGCCUCCGAGGCCGCGGGAUGCCGGGCACAGGCCCAGCGGCGGGUGGAAGCGGAGCCGAGCAGGAGAAAGAGAGGGGAGGGGGAGCGAGUAGCUCGCGGCCGAGGGAACAGCAGAUUGCGCCCAGCCAAUGGCAAGGGCUGGGGAAUCUCCUGUCUGGGCCUCUGUCUCGUGAUCUUUGUCCCCAGGUCUCACCUGGCAAGCAGUCAGUGAACUCUCUGGCCCUGGCCCUGGUCCGAAGAACUUUUUCCCCAGGAGUCACCCAGCUUGUCAGUCGCCUGGUCAUGCACUCUGCCCAGAGACAUUACCUGUUCCUGGCCAUGCUACGUGAUCUGCAGACAUACCCUCGGGACAGAAUAACCUGUUAGAAGACCCUUCCCUGGGCCCCCAGUUCAUGACCUAGCCAAAGACAGAUGCUGAACCAACUGAGUCAUCCAGGCGCCCCUCCAGUUUCACCCUAAAUGACCCCAUGGGAUUUAGCACCACCAUCUCCUCCAGAAAGUCUUCCCUGCUUCUCCCAACCUGGUCUGCUGUGGACCUCUUCUCACUGUGUGCUAAGCUCCAUCAUCCAGUCAUAAGGAUCUCCUCCUCUAUGGUGAUUGCCCAAGGUCAGGAGCUCCUUAUGACCUCAGCACUUAGCACCAUGCCUACGACCAUGUGAUGUUCCAUAAACGUUCAAUGAAGGGAGCCCGGAAGGGCAAAAGGAAGGGAACGUCAAGUGGGCUGUCCAAGUUGCAUGAAGAUCUGUGAGCAUUCCUCCGCUCAGCCCCCCACCCCCAUUUGACAUCUGGCUGGGGACGCUCACAGACCCACAAGAUUUUAUUUAUUUAUUUGACAGAGACACAGCAAGAGAGGG